UCGUAACAAGGUUUCCGUAAGUGAACCUGCGGAAGGAUCAUUGUCGAAACCUCACGGUAGAAUGACGUGCUAACCUGUACCGAUUAUUGCUUCGAGUGUCGGGGUGCUGUCUCUUUGAUUUGCCCAGACAAACAAAAACACCGGUGCAGCAGCGCCAAGGAAUAUAAUAAUGAGUGUGCAACUUUUGCAGGGCUCAAUUAUGUUGCCUGUGAGCUCUGCAUCCUUUUAAUAAAAAUGACUCUCGGCAAUGGAUAUCUUGGCUCUUGCAUCGAUGAAGAACGUAACAAAAUGCGAUACUUGGUGUGAAUUGCAGAAUCCCGUGAACAAUCGAAACUUUGAACGCAAGUUGCGCCUCAAGCCAUUUGGUUGAGGGCACGUCUGCUUGGGUGUCAUGCAUUAUGUCUCCCAUCUCGUGUGUGGAGUGGGAAUAGAUCCUGGCCUCCUGGGCCCUUCCUUGGGUGUGGUUGGCCAAAAAUGUUGUCCUUGAUUUUGUUGAUGUCUUGGUGUGCGGUGGAUGUGCCAUGUGUGUGUAGUUGCCAGCCUUGCUUGACUUCAUUGUGGCGUUGGGAUCGUAUGAAGCUGCUGGUUUUGGCUCUUUGAUUGCGACCCCAAGUCAGGCGAGACUACCUGCUGAGUUUAAGCAUAUCAAUAAGCGGAGGAAA
rnacentral:rRNA from 1 species